ACAGUUCCUCAUGCUGUGCUGAACCCCAACCAUAAGUUGCUACUUCAUACCUGUUGCUACUAUUAUGAAUUGCAGUGUCUUUUUGGAGAUAGAGGUUUGUCAAAGGGGUUGAGAUCCACAGGUUGAGAACCACUGGCUCAGAAGGAAGAUGAUACGGAGAUGUCUGUUGGGGGCUUAGACCUAGAAGCAUUACGCUAAGAGGCUGACAUAAAGCCUUGCUCUCUGAUUGUGUGGCUGGGAGGAGUCUCUGACUGACUUUAUGCCAACUUUAUCCUAAGUCUGAUGAUUAACUCAACAGUUUGACUGACUCAGCAGACAGAAUAUGAAAGAAGCAAAUUGUGCUUAGGCAGUGGUUAAGGGGCCUUUCAGAUGUCAUCUCAACCUGUAGGCCCUUAGGAAGGACAAGUGGCAGAGGCUGGCAGAAGGGUCUGGGGUAGAGAAGGGAGAAUAUCUUAUUCCCCAUUAGCUGUGGGAACAGCCAUCAGAAAACCUGGGCAGAUGCUAAUGCACAGGGAGCUGAGACCAGGAACAAAGCUGGAGGCUGUAAGAAACCUUGAGACAAGAGACAAGGGCAGCUGGGGGAUGGUGGAGCAUACCUUUAAUCCCAACACUCAGGAGGCAGAGGCAGGAGGAUCAUCGCUGAGUUCAAGACCAGCCUGUUCUACAGAAUGAGUUCUAGGACAGCCAAGGCUACACAGAAAAACCCUAAAAUAAAAAAAGAUACAAGGGCCAAUGAAGACAUGUUGCCCUUAACUUUUCUGAGUCUGUCUCCAAGGCACAAAGCUCUACUUGGAAGCUUUGUGAUGAUUACUGUAUGUCGGAGACCAGGUUGGGGAGAGGGUAAUUAAAAGCUACGCCCGGCUAAAAUGUUAAUGGAGAAAGAGCACAGUUCUGGCUCUGCAUAAAAACACAGUUGCUAGAAGAGCAGACAAGGUUUCUAAUGGUAUAAAUAUGCAAUGUACUUUUUGAGAGGGCAAGGAGAUAGAGUAUGUAUAAUGGAUAAAGAGACAGAAGUUAACAAGCUAAUUAAAAGAGACAGAAAGGUUGGGGCGUGAGAUACUGGGUAUUUUAAACAUUAAAACAUUCAGAAAUGUUCCCUGGGCAAAAGAUAGAAGAUGAAAAAAAUACUGGUUCAUAGAACUGGUGGGGAAGGCCGGCUGUAGGGAGCAGGUGCAAUGUACCUGAUACAAUGUAGCUUUUCUAGGAUGGAAACCCAGCGUGCACUGCUUUGCUCAGUGAAGUCUCGUCUCAGUGGCUUGUGGUAGGCUCUGGUGUUGGGCACCGUAGGAAGUGGGAAGGACAGAUGACAGGCAGGUACUGGUCCUUCAGAGAAGAACUCUAUUAGAGAGAUGGCCCAGCAGUUAAGAACACUUGGUGCUCUUGCAGAGGGCACUGGUUUGGUUCCAAUCUCUCACACGGAGGCUCGCCCUACCUGCAAUACUUCUAAAAAGUAUGACGUCCUUUUUUGGCCUCCUCUCCACUGUAUGCUGGUGGUGUACUUAUGUAUACACAGGCAAGACAUACCAUAAAACAAAAAUAAACCUAAACACACACACACACACACACACACACACACACACACACACACGGAUUGUGAUCUGAGCAGUUAGCUGGACUUAGAACCAGACCAAAGAGUAAAUUGAAUGCUGCCUUCUCUUUAACCUGGGUCUAGGGGGGGCUCUAGAAGAGCAGUCAAGUCUAGCAAGGCAUGAAGGAGCCCUGGAAGAGCUCCCUCUGAGGGGUCUCAGGAAAAUACACUACGGCACUGCUGUGGCCUUUGAGAAGCACAGGAUGCUGUGGUAGCUUGGGAGUGGGAUGGAACUGGAUGCCCAUGUCAUUUAUGGUUGGCUGUUUCAAACUAGUUAUGUACCCACUCUUAUCCUUGUCAAGGCCCGGGUCACUGCUGCCUGCCUGUCUAGCCAGCCAUUGUGCGCUGUCAUUACUGUUUGUUACCAGGAAACUUUCCUAUGCCAGAGUUGGCUGCAUAAUCCUUUAUGCUCUGUGUUUUGGUGUUCUCAGAAGCCAAUCACAAGAGAGGUCCAGUAGAGCUGCUUCGUAUAGUUAGCCACAAUAAGUCUGGACCUGGACCAGCCACCCAGCAGCACUUCCCGCACCUGGGUCCAUAGGACAUCUUGGUUGGAUCUUGCUACUUAUUACCUCUUGACGCCUCAAUUGCACCCAUUGUGAAGGAUGUUAACUCACAAGCCCUGGGAGAGUACUGUGGGGCUCAAAUGGACUCAUUCGCCGGCAGCAUAGCUCACCUGGGAGAAGCCACACUUCACCUGUGUGUGUCUCUGGUAGGCAUAUGGCUCUUAAAAAAAUAAGCUGGGCAGAAGAAAGAGCUCCUAAGACAGUCACUCCCAACAUCACCCAGGGUAAGCCAGGUCCUGGUCCUACAUGCCACUGUUCAUCCUGCUUGACCUUCCCUCAAGGAGACAUUUGGCAAUGUCUGGAGAUACUCUGAAUUUUCACAGUGGAGGAAAACUCCUACAAUAUCAUUCUGCAGGCAAAGCACCCACCCACAAAAAAUAAAAACAAGUAAACCUAAAAGAA